rnacentral:rRNA from 1 species
GACCUGAGAGGGUGAUCGGCCACACUGGAACUGAGACACGGUCCAGACUCCUACGGGAGGCAGCAGUAGGGAAUCUUCCGCAAUGGGCGAAAGCCUGACGGAGCAACGCCGCGUGAGUGAUGAAGGUCUUCGGAUCGUAAAACUCUGUUAUUAGGGAAGAACAAAUGUGUAAGUAACUGUGCACGUCUUGACGGUACCUAAUCAGAAAGCCACGGCUAACUACGUGCCAGCAGCCGCGGUAAUACGUAGGUGGCAAGCGUUAUCCGGAAUUAUUGGGCGUAAAGCGCGCGUAGGCGGUUUCUUAAGUCUGAUGUGAAAGCCCACGGCUCAACCGUGGAGGGUCAUUGGAAACUG